GGGCAAGCGCGACACUGGUUGAUCGCGUCCAAGCAGUUAGGCCGGUGCGGAGGCAAAUCCUUCGCGCCAAGGCGGAGCUGUGAUGGCGAGGGAAAUUUUAGUACCGAAGUUCCUGAUUCCACACUGCCAAGAAAAGCCUCUAGUGAGGUGAAAGGCGCCCGUACCGCAAACCGACACAGGUAGGCGAGGAGAGAAUCCUAAGGUGAGCGAGAGAACUCUCGUUAAGGAACUCGGCAAAAUGACCCCGUAACUUCGGGAGAAGGGGUGCUUUUUGGGGUGUAUGCCCCGGGAAGCCGCAGUGAAUAGGCCCAGGCGACUGUUUAGCAAAAACACAGGUCUCUGCGAAGCCGCAAGGCGAAGUAUAGGGGCUGACACCUGCCCGGUGCUGGAAGGUUAAGGAGAGGGGUUAGCCGUAAGGCGAAGCUCUGAACUGAAGCCCCAGUAAACGGCGGCCGUAACUAUAACGGUCCUAAGGUAGCGAAAUUCCUUGUCAGGUAAGUUCUGACCCGCACGAAAGGUGUAACGAUCUGGGCACUGUCUCAACGAGAGACUCGGUGAAAUUAUAGUACCUGUGAAGAUGCAGGUUACCCGCGACAGGACGGAAAGACCCCAUGGAGCUUUACUGCAGCCUGAUAUUGAAUUUUGGUACAGCUUGUACAGGAUAGGUAGGAGCCUUGGAAACCGGAGCGCCAGCUUCGGCGGAGGCAUCGGUGGGAUACUACCCUGGCUGUAUUGAAAUUCUAACCCGCACCCCUUACCGGGGUGGGAGACAGUGUCAGGCAGGCAGUUUGACUGGGGCGGUCGCCUCCUAAAAGGUAACGGAGGCGCCCAAAGGUUCCCUCAGAAUGGUUGGAAAUCAUUCGCAGAGUGUAAAGGCAUAAGGGAGCUUGACUGCGAGACUUACAAGUCGAGCAGGGACGAAAGUCGGGCUUAGUGAUCCGGUGGUUCCGCAUGGAAGGGCCAUCGCUCAACGGAUAAAAGCUACCCUGGGGAUAACAGGCUGAUCUCCCCCAAGAGUCCACAUCGACGGGGAGGUUUGGCACCUCGAUGUCGGCUCAUCGCAUCCUGGGGCUGUAGUCGGUCCCAAGGGUUGGGCUGUUCGCCCAUUAAAGCGGUACGCGAGCUGGGUUCAGAACGUCGUGAGACAGUUCGGUCCCUAUCCGUCGCGGGCGCAGGAAAUUUGAGAGGAGCUGUCCUUAGUACGAGAGGACCGGGAUGGACGCACCGCUGGUGUACCAGUUGUCUUGCCAAAGGCAUCGCUGGGUAGCUAUGUGCGGAAGGGAUAAGUGCUGAAAGCAUCUAAGCAUGAAGCCCCCCUCAAGAUGAGAUUUCCCACAGUUUAUACUGGUAAGAUCCCUGAAAGAUGAUCAGGUUGAUAGGUCCGGGGUGGAAGCGCGGCGACGCGUGGAGCUGACGGAUACUAAUCGAUCGAGGACUUAACCAC
rnacentral:rRNA from 2 species